CAGGGAAUAGUUAAAUUCAGAAUGCUAGCUUUGGGAGCUAGUGGUGGGAGUUAAAAUCUCCCUUCCUUGA
rnacentral:tRNA from 1 species